rnacentral:rRNA from 1 species
CGUAGGGUGCGAGCGUUAAUCGGAAUUACUGGGCGUAAAGCGUGCGCAGGCGGUAAUGCAAGACAGAUGUGAAAUCCCCGGGCUUAACCUGGGAACUGCAUUUGUGACUGCAUUGCUGGAGUGCGGCAGAGGGGGAUGGAAUUCCGCGUGUAGCAGUGAAAUGCGUAGAUAUGCGGAGGAACACCGAUGGCGAAGGCAAUCCCCUGGGCCUGCACUGACGCUCAUGCACGAAAGCGUGGGAGCAAACAGGAUU